CUCUCUCUCUCUCUCUCUUUCUUCUUCUCUCCCUGUAUCUUGUAGUAGGGUGUAUGCUCCGCAGGGGCAGGGACCACAUCUCAUCUAAACUGUGGAAUGAAUUCUUUGAUGAAGGUAGGGUGAACACUAUCUCAUAACAAUGCCCUGGGCCGGGCUGGCCCAGUGGGGACAGGGCAGGAGAGAAUUUCAGUUAGAUACUGUAGAAAGAGUGCUAGCUCUGAAGUCAGAGAGCCUGGGUUCAAAUCCUGCCACAUGGGGAAGCCCCUCCACCUUGCUGGGUUUCAGUUUCUUUGGACUAGACCCUCUAAGGACCUUUCCUCCUCUAGAGCCAGGAUCUCAUUCUCUAUGGAUGGUUUGGGGAAGACACUUGACUGUAUUGGGCCUCAGUUUCCUGGUCUAGAAGAUGAAGGGGUUGGAUUGGACAACCGCUAGGGUCCCGGCCAGCUAGCUUUAAGGUCACGUCUUCCUGGGGCCACGAAGUAUGAUUCCCCCAGCCUCCUAGCCUCAGUAUCCUCUUCCCAGGGCAGCUGGCCAGCGGAGCCGAGGUGCCCGGCACAAUGACGGCAUUGUGGAGGCUUGAGAGCUUGGGGGAGGAGGGGAUCAAAGCCUGGAGUUACAGCGGGAGGUGUCCUGGGAGCCCAGGAGAGCAGGGAUAAAAACCGGCAGCUUCCUGCCAUUGCAGCAGGGCUCUGGAAGGACAGCAAGUCCUGACUAUGGAAGGAAUAAGGGAUGAGGUCAACCUUGAACCUAAGGGUGGGGGUAGGGGCAGAGUUUUGUUAGAGUGUGGGGUAACCCUCCUCUGAGCAGUCCUUACCUUGAAUUAUGGAGUCAUAGAAUGUCAAGGCUGGGAGAGGCCCUAGAACAGGGAAGGUCAGAGCCGGGAGGGAACCUUCACACGAGGCUCUAAGAAAGUAGAAGCUUAAUGUCAGAGGGACCUGGCUGGUAGAUAACAGAACCCACAAUGUCAGACGUUGAUUACAACAUUUAUUGGUGGGUUUUGUUUUUCUGUCACUUUCACUGGUGAAUCUCUUCCUCUUCUUCCCUGCUGAAACAAAAAAUAAAACGAGGAAAGACAAAAGACAAAAGAUAAAACGAGGAAAGACUUUGAAGACGUUCCGAAGCUUGGGGCCACUCACUCCCCCAAGAGUAUUGUGGGUAGAUUUCAGGGGGUCUGUGAACUUGGAUGGGAAAAAAAAGAACAGUUUUAUUUUUACUAACCUUUAUCUGAAAGUUAGCAGUUCCUUCAAUUAUAAAUAAAGAUGACAAAUACGGUUCUGAGAAGGGGUCCAUAGGCUGCACCAGACUGAGGGCCAGAGGAGUCCGGGGAAAAAAAAAGGUAAAGAACUCCAGCUCUGGGCCAAACCCCUCAUUCUGCAGAUGGGGAAACUGAGGCCCAGGGAAGGGAGUCCUACACUGUUAUUGGCAAAAGGGGGACAGAAAGCGAUGUCUCAUUGUCAAGCCCAGCAUGCUUUUCCUUGACCUGUGAUACUCCCUUGACCCGCACACACGAACACUCCUUUUCCAGCCUGAGCUCUUUUCCUGUGAGGCGCUGGAGUGUGCCUAGAUAAAGAUACCUCCCCCCUCUCCUCCACCUCCCGGCCAUCCCACAGCUCAUCAGCCCUCAGGGAAAAAGAAACCCUUCCAUUAAUACCCAUUGUCCUUCAGACUGUCUCCCACUGAACCCUGAUAAAAUCGUUUGAAGUCCCAGAGUCCCCUCCACACCAGGCUCUCCGCACCGGCUGCCUCCAGCUAGGGAGGUAUACAGAGGAGGUCAGAAGUUUGCCUGCGAUCACCCAGAAUGUCUGCUAACUAUAGUUCAGGCUGCCUGACCACCAACUCCAACCCGGGGCCACCAUUAUCCUCCUCCUGCUUACACCAUCUGAAUUUUUCACUGCAUCUAAAACACAGGGUGGGACAAUGAAUUGUCAUCAGCUCCAGGGAAGCAGGGUCAGGACAGGGAGGAAGGGGUGGCUCGAGGAGAAGGUUUUGGGCAGAGGGGGAGUUCAAAUCCGGCCUCAGACACUUGACACUUACUAGCUGUGUGACCUCAGGCACUGUAGAUACCUCCCUGUGCCUCAGUUUCCUCAUCGGUAAAUUAAAGGCCUUUCUUUCUCUCAAUUUUUAAUUAGAGGGAGGGGGAUUAGUAAUAGUGAUGCUAAAGAAAGGAGGACCAUUAUAACAGUUUUUAAAAUGCCCAGAAGAAAAUAAAAGGAAUCAUAGACAAGCUUUGAAAAUUAGAAUUUAUUAUAGACUUUUGUUUUUUAGAAAGCUAGACUGGCAGGCCUCUGAGAUGUCUUCUAAAACCAUGAUUCUGUGUAAAAAGGAUAAAUUUGGGGCAGUAAGUUUCCUUGUUGAAACAAAAAAAUAAAACAAGAGGAAAGAAACAGAAAAGCCUGAUCAGGCUUUGAAGACGUUCCUAAGCUCGGGGCCACUCACCCCCGCAAGGAGACUGUGGGUAGAUUUCAGGGGGUCUGUGAACUAACGGCUUUAUUUUUACUAACCUUUAUCUGAAAUUUAAAGAUGUUUAAAGAUUCUGAA